rnacentral:rRNA from 1 species
CCUACGGGAGGCAGCAGUGGGGAAUUUUGCGCAAUGGGGGAAACCCUGACGCAGCAACGCCGCGUGGAGGAUGAAAUCCCUUGGGAUGUAAACUCCUUUCGAUCGGGAAGCGGUACCGAGAGAAGAAGCCCCGGCUAACUUCGUGCCAGCAGCCGCGGUAAUACGAGGGGGGCAAGCGUUGUUCGGAAUUAUUGGGCGUAAAGGGUGCGUAGGCGGUUUGAUAAGUUUGAUGUGAAAUCUCUGGGCUCAACCCAGAGUCUGCAUCGAAAACUGUCGGGCUUGAGUAUGGGAGAGGUGAGUGGAAUUUCCGGUGUAGCGGUGAAAUGCGUAGAUAUCGGAAGGAACACCUGUGGCGAAAGCGGCUCACUGGACCAUCUGACGCUGAUGCACGAAAGCUAGGGGAGCAAACAGGAUUAGAUACCCUUGUAGUC